rnacentral:rRNA from 1 species
CGCCCGGAUUAUGGUGAUUCAUAAUAAUUUUCGGAUCGAUCAAUUGAUCGAUGCAUCAUUCAAGUUUCUGCCCUAUCAGCUUUGGAUGGUAGGGUAUUGGCCUACCAUGGCAUUAACGGGUAACGGAGAAUUAGGGUUCGAUUCCGGAGAGGGCGCCUGAGAAACGGCGACCAGUUCCAAGGAAGGCAGCAGGCGCGUAAAUUACCCAAUCCUGACACAGGGAGGUAGUGACAAUAAAUAACAAUGUCGGGCCUUCGGGUUUGACAAUUGGAAUGAGAGCAAUUUAAAUCCCUUAUCGAGGAUCAAUUGGAGGGCAAGUCUGGUGCCAGCAGCCGCGGUAAUUCCAGCUCCAAUAGCGUAUACUAAAGUUGUUGCAGUUAAAAAGCUCGUAGUUGAAUUCCUGGUUUCGGAGUGCGGUCUGCCCCGUGGGGUAAGUAUCAGCGCUCGGGAGCCAUCCUCGAGGAGAACAUGCCUGUGAUUGAGUUCAUGGGUAUGGGAGCCUCGUCUUUUACUGUGAGCAAACUAGAGUGUUCAAAGCAGGCUUACGCCGUUGAAUAUAUUAGCAUGGAAUAAUAAGAUAAGACCUUGGUUUAUUUUGUUGGUUAGUGGUCCAAGGUAAUGAUAAAUAGGGAUAGUUGGGGGUAUUCGUAUUCAAUUGUCAGAGGUGAAAUUCUUGGAUUUAUGGAAGACGAACUACUGCGAAGCAUUUACCAAGGAUGUUUUCAUUAAUCAAGAACGAAAGUUAGGGAUCGAAGAUGAUUAGAUACC